AAGCCUGAUGCAGCAACGCCGCGUGAACGAUGAAGGUCUUCGGAUCGUAAAGUUCUGUUGCAGGGGAAGAUAAUGACGGUACCCUGUGAGGAAGCCCCGGCUAACUACGUGCCAGCAGCCGCGGUAAUACGUAGGGGGCUAGCGUUAUCCGGAUUUACUGGGCGUAAAGGGUGCGUAGGUGGUCCUUCAAGUCGGUGGUUAAAGGCUACGGCUCAACCGUAGUAAGCCGCCGAAACUGGAGGACUUGAGUGCAGGAGAGGAAAGUGGAAUUCCCAGUGUAGCGGUGAAAUGCGUAGAUAUUGGGAGGAACACCAGUAGCGAAGGCGGCUUUCUGGACUGCAACUGACACUGAGGCACGAAAGCGUGGGUAGCAAACAGGAUUAGAUACCCUGGUAGUCCACGCUGUAAACGAUGAGUACUAGGUGUCGGGGGUUACCCCCCUCGGUGCCGCAGCUAACGCAUUAAGUACUCCGCCUGGGGAGUACGCACGCAAGUGUGAAACUCAAAGGAAUUGACGGGGACCCGCACAAGUAGCGGAGCUGUGGUUUAAUUCGAGCACGCGAAGAACCU
rnacentral:rRNA from 1 species